rnacentral:lncRNA from 1 species
UCUAGAGCUUUCAGGAGGGUGGCCCCGCUGGAGUUCCGGCUCUGAAGAUUUGUUUCUGACUUUUGGCCUCCAAAACCACAAAAUGAUUAUUUUAUGUAGCUUAAGCCACUAAGAGAGGGAGAGAGAGAGAGAGAGAAAGAGAGAGAGAGAGAGAGAAAGAGAGAGAGAGAAUUUACAAUAAAGUGUGUGUGUGCGCGCACGCGUGUGUGUCUGUGGUUACAACAGUAACCACAGAAAACCAACAUCAGGCUUAUCCUUUCUUUCCACUCCAUAAUCUUUCCAUUAACAGGGAGCCCACUGGCUGAGAAACAGAAGGGUCAGGAAGGGAUCUGGGUGCAUGGGCUGUGCCCAGUGGGACCCCUUUAGCAUGCUGUGGAGUCUAGCAUGUUCACAUUUGCAAAGCCUAUUUUCCUGAAUUCUACUUGCAAAUCCUUUAUAGUGUAUAUACAUUUUUUCUCCUAAGUGUAUUCUGAUUCAAAUGGAAAGAGAAUGAUAAAUUAAAACCAUUUACAGCAAGAGGAACAUAUGUACAACACUCACUCUCCCCUGAUUCACUCAAAUUUCAUUGCUUAUGCCUCAGAACCAUGAAUGGCAUCCAGCCAAGGAAGACUUACAUGAAACAGUCAUGUGAUUUUAUGGAUUGGUUCUAUCCUUCCCUAUCUUAUUAUCAUAUGAAUCAAAACAGGUGCCAUUAGCUCUUUUUUUCACAGUGACAGCAGUAAUCAAACAAUCUAUAAAAUGAAGGCAUUUCAUAAAGACGAAUGCCACCAAGCCAUCAUGUGUGCAGGCCUCUGAGUCACUCCCUCUUCUGAGUCACACUCCAUAGAAGUGAUUUGGCAGCUCAUCUUUUCCAUCAGCCCUGUGGUUGAAAAAAAUGGGUCAUUGCACCAUGACAAAAGGACAUUCACUGAAAAUGCAGCCAUCAAGAAAAGUUUGAACCCCAGUGGUCUCAAAUGCCCAAAGGAAGCUUGUCCUUGUUGCAGUGUGUGGGUGCCAGAGGCAGACAUACUCACAGGGUGGCACGGACUCCACCGGCAGCCCAUGGGGGACAUGUGUUUCAUUCAAGCUGUUUGCCUGAGAAGCCAGAAACCCUGCUCUCUGUGAUUCUCUGGGCUUCUGUGGAAAGUGAGACCUAGUCUCUGGCAGGAAGUGUGGUGGCUGGCAUCCAGUCUGGGGCCUGGGAAACUAGGAGCAGCUGGCAGAAGCUGGUGAAAAGCCAUGAAGUCACAACCUCCACUGAAACAUGUAUUGGGCCCACUUCAUGGGAUCAGCUCACCUGCACUAGAUGGCCACUGCCACCAGAAGGGUACCCAGACCCUAAAGAAGCGUCACUCCAGUAGCACUGGUUGAACACCCAGCAGAAGCUAAGGCAGAAGGCUCAGCUCUGAGGAAAUCAGUUUGAAGACACAAUAGCCUCUGAGCUCCACCACUUUCCUGGGCUAAAGUAUAAAUAUCUUUAAAGUCUGAAGAAUAUUGACUGAUUUGGCUACAACUGAGUCAUUUCAACAACUUUAACUAAAUGAAGAAAAAUCUGAAAAGACAAAUUCUUCAAGCCUUGUGUUUCAGCCCUGCCUCCCUCUGCCUUGGAGAGCAGGUAAAAUGGAGAUGUGGUCACUUCCUUUCUUCUUGGGGCCAGUUUUUAAAAAGCAAGGCAAAGCUGUGAUUUCUAGAGAAUAGCAGCACAGUCAAAGGUAUGCUGUUAAUGAUCUGAUUUUCAGCACUCUUAGGGGACAUCCAUAAAGCAAAGCACAAUGAAAAGGGGAAUAUCCCAAUCCUGCUGUGAAACACUGAGAAGCACAUUGGCCCCUUGCUCCUAGGUAGUGUCCUUCUGUUAAAGCAGGG